GCAGAAGAAAGAAGAACUAGAGUCACGUUUUCAUUCUAAAUAAGUUUAUUGUUAAAGUAACUUGGAAUCAUUCUUGAGUUAUAAUAAUUCUAAAAGUGAGUCUGUGAUAGUUGUAACAAGAAGUUGUUGUGACUUCUUGGAGAGUAAAUAUAACGGUUAUAGUUAAUCGUUGGAGUUGAGGUACUAGAGUUAAUCCCUUAGAUUAUAGAGUUGUA
rnacentral:lncRNA from 1 species